AUGAACGCUGGCGGCGUGCCUAAUACAUUCCAGUCGAGCGAACGGACGAGAAGCUUGCUUCUCUGAUGUUAGCGGCGGACGGGUGAGUAACACGUGGAUAACCUACCUAUAAGACUGGGAUAACUUCGGGAAACCGGAGCUAAUACCGGAUAAUAUUUUGAACCGCAUGGUUCAAAAGUGAAAGACGGUCUUGCUGUCACUUAUAGAUGGAUCCGCGCUGCAUUAGCUAGUUGGUAAGGUAACGGCUUACCAAGGCAACGAUGCAUAGCCGACCUGAGAGGGUGAUCGGCCACACUGGAACUGAGACACGGUCCAGACUCCUACGGGAGGCAGCAGUAGGGAAUCUUCCGCAAAGGGCGAAAGCCUGACGGAGCAACGCCGCGUGAGUGAUGAAGGUCUUCGGAUCGUAAAACUCUGUUAUUAGGGAAGAACAUAUGUGUAAGUAACUGUGCACAUCUUGACGGUACCUAAUCAGAAAGCCACGGCUAACUACGUG
rnacentral:rRNA from 1 species